AGUGAACGCUGGCGGUAGGCCUAACACAUGCAAGUCGAACGGCAGCACAGGAGCGCUUGCUCUCUGGGUGGCGAGUGGCGGACGGGUGAGGCAUACAUCGGAAUCUGCCCAGUCGUGGGGGAUAACGUAGGGAAACUUACGCUAAUACCGCAUACGACCUUCGGGAGAAAGAGGGGGCUCGCAAGACCUCUCGUGAUUGGAUGAGCCGAUGUCGGAUUAGCUAGUUGGCGGGGUAAUGGCACACCAAGGCGACGAUCCGUAGCUGGUCUGAGAGGAUGACCCGCCACACUGGAACUGAGACACGGUACCGACUCCUACGCGAGGCCGCAGUGGGGAAUAUUGGGCGAUGGGCGAAAGCCUGAUCCAGCCAUACCGCGUGGGUGAUGAAGGCCUACGGGUUGUAAAGCCCUUUUGUUGGGAAAGAUAUCUUUCAGGCUAAUACCCUGGGAGGAUGACGGUACCCAAAGAAUAAGCUCCGGCUAACUUCGUG
rnacentral:rRNA from 1 species